GCCCGGGUGGUCUAGUGGUAUGAUUCUCGCUUAGGGAUACAAACCCAAGCAUAUUUGCGAGAGGUCCCGCGUUCGAUCCGCGGCUCGGGCC
rnacentral:tRNA from 2 species